rnacentral:rRNA from 1 species
UACAGAGGUUGCAAGCGUUAAUCGGAUUUACUGGGCGUAAAGCGCGUGUAGGCGGCCUUGUAAGUCCGUUCUGAAAGCCCGGGGCUCAACCCCGGGAGGCGGAUGGAUACUGCAAGGCUCGAGUACGGAAGAGGCGAGUGGAAUUCCCGGUGUAGCGGUGAAAUGCGCAGAUAUCGGGAGGAACACCAAUGGCGAAGGCAGCUCGCUGGGACGUUACUGACGCUGAGACGCGAAAGCGUGGGGAGCAAACAGG